AUCAAACCUUUAAACUGACGAGCCUGCAGGGGUACCAGAACCGCAGCCAGAGUCUGAACACAGCUUUACAGCUCAGACUGAGUGUCAGUGAGAAGCACCUGGAGCACCUGCAGACGGAGAACACAGGUAACUGCAGUUUGUCCGUGAAGCUCCUCCAGGUAAGUCAGGAGAUGUCUGACUGUUUGUUCCUGAUGUGUUUUGUGUUCUCAGUUCAGUCUGUUAAACUUUCUCUGAUGGAGUCCAAACUGACGGACGGACUGAACAGAACCACAGGUCAAGACUGAGUCACAAUUCCACUAAUCACUGAUGUAUCAGUUAAUCUGAUCGGUCUGUACUGAAGAUUUUAAACCUAGACUCUGUAGAUGUUCAGAUAAAUACCGACUGUUGUGUUGAUCAGCUCUGGAGGUCCGACUGAGAUCUGCUGAGACACACCUGGAACACCUGGAACACAUGGAGCACCUGGAGCAACUGGAACACCUGGAACACCUGGAACACUUGCAGACGGAGAACACAGUUCAGUCCGAUCGACUUUCCCUGAUGGAGUCCAGACUGACAGACGGACUCAACAACACCAAAGCUCUGGAGGUCCGACUGAGAUCUGCUGAGACACACCUGGAACACCUGGAGUACCUGGUGAAUCACACUGCAGGUAACAUCACCAUCCCACUAAGCUUCAGUCCAAAGCAUAGUUCAUCAUUAUGUAAGUACAUUGAGAACUGGUCCUGAACCGGUCCUGAACCGGUCCUGAACCGGUCCUGAACUGGUCCUUCUGACAUGGAAGGUAAUCUUAAGGGUGCUUUAAUGGAAACCACAGAGGAGGAAACUCUUGGUGGAUCUCAGAAGAACUUUAUGUUCUGCAGGUUGUUAAAUGUUUUAAGUGUUUUCAGUAGGCGAGGUGGAGCUGUCGGCCGUCACCGCGAGGCUGAUGGUCACGGAGCAGCAGCUGGACGAGCUGACGGCUGAACUCUCAGGUGAUGUUGGAUCCUUCAGCUGCUGUUUGUCUGGUCCUGCUUCAGUCUCUGAUGGUUCUGUGUUUGUGUUGCAGACAGACUGACGGCAGCUGACAGACACGCUGAAGGUACCAUCCCUUCUCUAUCGCAACGUUUCUGUGGUUAUUACAAUACUAUAGAAAAUAGAAAAGCUGUUCAUCAGAUGUGUUUCCUGUCAGAUCUGCAGGUCCGACUGAGCGCCACUGAGGCUGCAACCCACCAGCUGAAGACCCUCAACCAGGGUAGAGUCCAGAAUACGACAUGAAGCUGCCUGUGACCAGUGUCAGUCCAACAGUACCAGAAAUGUUCAGUGACCUCCAUGUUGUUUUUUCUCUCCGCAGAUCAGUCCGCCCUGCUGACAGAAAUCCGGUCCAGACUAGAUGCUACAGAGAGCCUCAGCUCAGGUGAGUCUUCAAGGUUCAGGUGUUAAUGGAAGAGAUGUGACAGAACAUGUCAGCACUGAGUUUGGGUUUUGUGAACUUUGCAGUUUUUAACA
rnacentral:lncRNA from 1 species